AUGGAGAUUGUACAAUAAUACCAAAUACUAUUUGUUCUGAUGAUAAAAUAUGUGACUGUGUGAAAAAUUAUAUCGCUAAAGAUGAACAAACGUGUUUACCAGUAAUUGGUGGAUUUUGUUCAAAUGAUAGCCAAUGUCGUAAUAGCGCAUUUCAGUGUAUUGAUAAUACGUGUGAAUGUAAACCUAAUUUUUCAUCUGUAUCAGCCAGCCAAUGCGUAAUACUACAUCAAAAUCAUCAAUGUAGUGAGGACUUGGAUUGUGGUGAUCCCUGGCAUUCACAAUGUUCGACUGAUCAUAAAUGUAUCUGCAGAAUUAAUAACAUUUCGAUAAAUAACUGGACAUGUUCUCCACUUAUAAAUGGGUAUUGUUGGAAAAAUGACCAAUGUGUUGUUGAGUACUCGGUUUGUAACGAUUUCCGUUGUAAGUGCAAACCUAACUUUAUACGCGUAACCAAUAAUUUAUGUUUACGAGCGUAAUUCACAAUGGGACAUAGAAUAUUUAACUGACUUUGUGUUAUUAUUAAGAAUGUAAAAUUUAUAAAAAUAUAUGAAUUCGCAC